rnacentral:rRNA from 1 species
AUUGAACGCUGGCGGCAUGCCUUACACAUGCAAGUCGAACGGCAGCACGGGAGCAAUCCUGGUGGCGAGUGGCGAACGGGUGAGUAAAGUAUCGGAACGUGCCCAGUCGUGGGGGAUAACGUAGCGAAAGUUACGCUAAUACCGCAUACGAUCUAUGGAUGAAAGCGGGGGAUCGCAAGACCUCGCGCGAUUGGAGCGGCCGAUAUCAGAUUAGGUAGUUGGUGGGGUAAAGGCUCACCAAGCCGACGAUCUGGAGCUGGUCUGAGAGGACGACCAGCCACACUGGGACUGGGACACGGCCCAGACUCCUACGGGAGGCAGCAGUGGGGAAUUUUGGACAAUGGGCGAAAGCCUGAUCCAGCCAUGCCGCGUGCAGGAUGAAGGCCUUCGGGUUGUAAACUGCUUUUGUACGGAACGAAAAGGUUUGGGCUAAUAAGCUGAGCUCAUGACGGUACCGUAAGAAUAAGCACCGGCUAACUACGUGCCAGCCGCCGCUGUAA